rnacentral:snoRNA from 1 species
AGUCCAUGGUGUGGGCAUUUUCUUAGAAGUUCUUAAACUAUCUCAUGCUUCAUGUAAAGAGUCCCCAUCCUAUUGAAGAAAAGAACUAAUUUCAGUCAUU